rnacentral:lncRNA from 1 species
CCCCACUCACUGAGCUGAGCAGUGGAUUGUUUUCCAGUUGAUGAAGAUGUACAUCUUAACCUCUGCUCCAUCCUUGCACCUGCAUGAUGCCCAUCCCAGAGACCUCAAUGAGCAGAGCCCGAGCUGAGGUUUUCAAACUCCAGGAGAGCAGAGAAUCUCUUGAAGAGCUCGUGUCAGGGACACCUCUACAGAAUCAAGCUCUGGUGCUGAGACCCAAGCCCCCCAUGUGACUGUGAAUGAAGGUCCCCAGAGAGGGACUGCUCAGUGUGAACCUGCAUACCUCCCUCCUUUCCAUUGCUGUUCCAUUUCAGUCCUGCACCGACUCAGCAUACCUUCAUCUCUGCAGAUGGUUUUUAUCAACAGCCAAAGAGUCAAGAACAAGCUUUUAGAAGGCUCUGUUUCCAAGUGUGAGAUGGAUUGUGGAAUUGUACUUGCCACUUUCUUGCCUAAGAGAGAGAUUAGACUUGGGGAACAUGAGAUUCUUGCUGGGCCCUUUAGAGAACAUCCUCAUUUGGAGAACCUCAACCACCAGAAGAGACAUUAGGAAGAUGCAUCAGUAGAAGCCUUCAAACACAAGCUUGGAGAAUAGCAAGUGAUCUGAAGGCAAGAUGCAAUGGAGCAUGUGUGUCAUCUUCACAAAGUUAGGGGACCCUCACUGGCUGGCAGAAAACAAAUGUAAAAGUGAGUCUCACUUCAGGGAAGGCUGAGACAGGGAGACUGAGAAUGUCACGGAAGAGACAAUGGAAAGUGAAGCUGAGAGCAUAGCUCAGAGGCAGUGGAACAGGCAUGAUUAGAAGAGAAGAUGUUAGACAGCUUGGUAGCAUCUGUGGCAGGAACCUGCCCCAGAGUAAAUGAGCACUGCCAAGGAAAAGAAGACAAUCCAAGUUCAGCAGCCAGCACAAGCAUCCACGUCCAGCUCCAACCUCAGAAGCAAUAUUUAUACUGCCUAAGAGCAGUGGUGAGCACCAAGGUGACUUACGACCUGUGUCCCUGGGAAUAUCCAGGUCUGGACACUUGAGAACACUUGGGUUUCCCAGGAAACACCCCCCACCCCGGAGACUGGUCACCCUGGUUAGCACUGAUUCAAACUACACUGCAGCUUGGGGACAGGUAUCCUCUUUGCAUGAUCCCUGAAGUUCUGACCAUUUCAUUCCUACCUCAUAGACUACUUCAGAACUCACAUAAUUGACAGUGGCAGCAAGUGCAGUUCUUUCUGCUCAAUUGUCUGUGAAGGAGGUGCAGUACCUUAAGACCUAGUCCUGAAUUGACGCAAAGAGCAAUGCUUUUACAUCUACAAAAGGGUGAACAUUCUCCCUGUUCAUUAGUAUACAGGGUCACCCAUUUGAGGGG